GAGCUUUUGUACUUUCGUGAAUACCUUUCAUGUCAAGGGUGACAACAACUUAUCAUAGGAAACGUGCAAUUUUUGAUUGAGGAAGUGAUGGAGAUUCAAGCCCACUACCUGUCUUAAGUUAUAAAUUACGAGAAGAGAUUUGGGACUAUUACUUCACUUGUAAACUAGUCAACAGAAGUCCAAGAUUACAACACUUCAAAGAUGAAGAUCUCGUACUUUGCCUUGGCCACCCUACUCCUAACCCUGAUGCUGAUAUCUACAGACAUUCAAGCAGUGACACAAGAGGAGUGCAAGAGCAUAUGCAGAAGUGAUCCCAACUAUAUCACGUGCCGAAAUCAUUGUAUUGCGAAUGGUUGCAUUGAUUGCGAGACUCAACUCCUAGAUCCUUGUGUGGCUGAAUGUCUUUUAAAUUAGUGCAAAAAUAAGGAGAGAAGUUGUAUUACUUGAAAUAAUUGAAAAAAUAUAUCCAUGUACACGCAAUGUAAACUUAUUCUAUAUUAUAUUUAAUAAAAUAUAAUUCACUUUAAAAA